rnacentral:rRNA from 1 species
CACGCCCUAAACGAUGUCAACUAGGUGUUGGGAGGGUAAAACCUUUUAGUACCGGAGCUAACGCGUGAAGUUGACCGCCUGGGGAGUACGGCCGCAAGGUUAAAACUCAAAGGAAUUGAC